rnacentral:rRNA from 1 species
UACGUAGGGUGCGAGCAUUGUCCGGAAUUAUUGGGCGUAAAGAGCUCGUAGGCGGCCUGUCACGUCGGAUGUGAAAGCCCGGGGCUUAACCCCGGGUCUGCAUUCGAUACGGGCAGGCUGGAGUUCGGUAGGGGAGAUCGGAAUUCCUGGUGUAGCGGUGAAAUGACGCAGAUAUCAGGAGGAACACCGGUGGCGAAGGCGGAUCUCUGGGCCGAUACUGACGCUGAGGAGCGAAAGCGUGGGGAGCGAACAGG